rnacentral:rRNA from 1 species
GUCGAACGAUGAAGCCUAGCUUGCUAGGUGGAUUAGUGGCGCACGGGUGAGUAAUAUAUAGAUAACGUGCCUCUUAGUCUGGGAUAGCCAUUGGAAACGAUGAUUAAUACAGGAUACUCCUUCUCUUUAUAAUAAGAGUUGGGAAAGUUUUUCGCUAAGAGAUCGGUCUAUAUCCCAUCAGCUUGUUGGCAGUGUAAGAGACUACCAAGCCAAUGACGCCUAGCUGGUCUGAGAGGAUGAUCAGCCACACUGGACUGAGACACGGUCCAGACUCCUACGGGAGGCAGCAGUGGGAAUAUUGCACAAUGGAGGAAACUCUGAUGCAGCAACGCCGCGUGGAGGAUGACGCAUUUCGGUGUGUAAACUCCUUUUCAUAUGUCAAGAAAAUGACGGUAGCAUAUGAAUAAGCACCGGCUAACU